GUUGUAUGGUUAAGUGACUAAGCGUAGACGGUGGAUGCCUUGGCAGUCAGAGGCGAUGAAGGACGUACUAACCUGCGAAAAGCGAUGGUGAGCUGGUAAGAAGCAUUUGAGCCAUCGAUGUCCGAANGAAUGGGGAAACCCACCUGCAUAAGCAGGUAUCUUAGCGUGAAUCCAUAGCGCUAAGAGGCGAACUCGGGGAACUGAAACAUCUAAGUACCCGAAGGAAAAGAAAUCAAUUGAGAUUCCGGCAGUAGCGGCGAGCGACCCCGGAGCAGCCCUUAAGCGGCUUAGGCGUUAGGUGAACAGGUUGGAAAACCUGGCAAUAAAGGGUGAUAGCCCCGUAACCGACGGCGCCUUAGACGUGAAAACGAGUAGGACGGGACACGUGAUAUCUUGUCUGAAKAKGGGGGGACCAUCCUCCAAGGCUAAAUACUCCUGACUGACCGAUAGUGAACCAGUACCGUGAGGGAAAGGCGAAAAGAACCCCUGUGAGGGGAGUGAAAUAGAACCUGAAACCGUCUACGUACAAGCAGUGGGAGCCCCAUCACUAAGACACUUCAUCUUAGUGAGACGCUAUCACUUUGUKGAUUGGGUUAACCACGCGMAGCGUGGGUCAACCRCCCAAUCCAGCAGAGGUGACUUAGUGAUGGGGUGACCGCGUACCUUUUGUAUAAUGGGUCAGCGACUUAAUGUAAGUAGCCAGGUUAACCGCAUAGGGGAGCCGUAGGGAAACCGAGUCUUAACUGGGCGACAGUUGCUUGCAUUAGACCCGAAACCGAGUGAUCUAGCCAUGGGCAGGUUGAAGGUUGAGUAACAUCAACUGGAGGACCGAACUCACUAACGUNGGAGAGGGAAACAACCCAGACCGCCAGCUAAGGUCCCCAAGUUAUCGCUAAGUGGGAAACGAUGUGGGAAGGCUCAGACAGCCAGGAUGUUGGCUUAGAAGCAGCCAUCAUUUAAAGAAAGCGUAAUAGCUCACUGGUCGAGUCGGCCUGCGCGGAAGAUGUAACGGGGCUAAGCGAUACACCGAAGCUGCGGCAAUGGCUGCAUCACUUAAAGCUAUUGGAUUGACGUUAUGCGCGAAGCGCGUGGUUAAUAACGUCAAAGCGCCCAACAAUGGUUGAGGCGAAUAAAGAUAGUGGCUUUAAGGAUGCAGUUAUUGGGUAGGGGAGCGUUGUGUAAGCUGUUGAAGGUGUGCUGAGAGGCAUGCUGGAGGUAUCACAAGUGCGAAUGCUGACAUGAGUAACGAUAAAGGGGGUGAAAAACCUCCUCGCCGGAAGACCAAGGGUUCCUGUCCAACGUUAAUCGGGGCAGGGUAAGUCGGCCCCUAAGGCGAGGCCGAAAGGCGUAGUCGAUGGGAAACGGGUUAAUAUUCCCGUACUGCUACUUACUGCGAUGGGGGGACGGAGAAGGCUAGGUGGGCCUGGCGAUGGUUGUCCAGGUUCAAGUGCGUAGGCUGAUUUCUUAGGCAAAUCCGGGAAAUCAAGGCCGAGACACGAUGUCGAGCCACCAAGGUGGUGAAGCCAUUGAUGCCAUGCUUCCGGGAAAAGCCUCUAAGCUUCAGGUAAGUAGGAACCGUACUCCAAACCGACACAGGUGGUCGGGUAGAGAAUACCAAGGCGCUUGAGAGAACUCGGGUGAAGGAACUAGGCAAAAUGGUACCGUAACUUCGGGAGAAGGUACGCUGCCCGCGGUGAAGUCCCUAGCGGAUGGAGCUAUGGGCAGUCGCAGAUACCAGGUGGCUGCAACUGUUUAUUAAAAACACAGCACUGUGCAAAAUCGAAAGAUGACGUAUACGGUGUGACGCCUGCCCGGUGCCGGAA
rnacentral:rRNA from 1 species